UGAAGCUACUUGGUUCUAUAGUUAAAUUACAGUUUUGGAGCAGAAGACAAAAAGGCUCAAAGAGUAUGUCAAUGUUCAUUAUGUUCUUUUCUUUUCCAAGUGAUAAAGGUUAAAAAUGGAGGAGGAGAAAACAAAAACAAACAAACAAACAUGCCAGCAUCUUGUAGCAAAAGAUGUUGUCACCAGCUGAUCCUGUGUGCCCUUUCAUUUAUU
rnacentral:lncRNA from 1 species